rnacentral:rRNA from 1 species
AUUGAACGCUGGCGGCAGGCCUAACACAUGCAAGUCGAGCGGCAGCGGAAAGUAGCUUGCUACUUUGCCGGCGAGCGGCGGACGGGUGAGUAAUGUCUGGGAAACUGCCUGAUGGAGGGGGAUAACUACUGGAAACGAUAGCUAAUACCGCAUGACCUCGAAAGAGCAAAGUGGGGGAUCUUCGGACCUCACGCCAUCGGAUGUGCCCAGAUGGGAUUAGCUAGUAGGUGAGGUAAUGGCUCACCUAGGCGACGAUCCCUAGCUGGUCUGAGAGGAUGACCAGCCACACUGGAACUGAGACACGGUCCAGACUCCUACGGGAGGCAGCAGUGGGGAAUAUUGCACAAUGGGCGCAAGCCUGAUGCAGCCAUGCCGCGUGUGUGAAGAAGGCCUUAGGGUUGUAAAGCACUUUCAGCGAGGAGGAAGGCACCAUACUUAAUACGUGUGGUGAUUGACGUUACUCGCAGAAGAAGCACCGGCUAACUCCGUGCCAGCAGCCGCGGUAAUACGGAGGGUGCAAGCGUUAAUCGGAAUUACUGGGCGUAAAGCGCACGCAGGCGGUUUGUUAAGUCAGAUGUGAAAUCCCCGCGCUUAACGUGGGAACUGCAUUUGAAACUGGCAAGCUAGAGUCUUGUAGAGGGGGGUAGAAUUCCAGGUGUAGCGGUGAAAUGCGUAGAGAUCUGGAGGAAUACCGGUGGCGAAGGCGGCCCCCUGGACAAAGACUGACGCUCAGGUGCGAAAGCGUGGGGAGCAAACAGG